UACGGAGGGGGCAAGCGUUAUUCGGAAUCAUUGGGCGUAAAGGGCGCGUAGGCGGCUUGGCAAGUCAAAGGUGAAAUCCCUCGGCCUAACCGAGGAACUGCCUUUGAUACUGCUUGCUUGAGGCCGGGAGAGGGUAGCGGAAUUCCCAGUGUGGCGGUGAAAUGCGUAGAUAUUGGGAGGAACACCAGUGGCGAAGGCGGCGACCUGGUCCAUUACUGACGCUGAGGCGCGACAGCGUGGGGAGCGAACAGG
rnacentral:rRNA from 1 species